GAAGGGGGCUAGCGUUGUUCGGAAUUACUGGGCGUAAAGCGCGCGCAGGCGGCUUGGCAAGUCAGUGGUGAAAUCCCAGAGCUUAACUCCGGAAUUGCCUCUGAAACUGCUGAGCUUCGAGUACGGGAGAGGUGAGUGGAAUUCCCAGUGUAGAGGUGAAAUUCGUAGAUAUUGGGAAGAACACCGGUGGCGAAGGCGGCUCACUGGCCCGUUACUGACGCUCAGGCGCGACAGCGUGGGGAUCAAACAGGAUUAGAUACCCUGGUAGUCCACGCCGUAAACGAUGGAUGCCAGCCGUUGGCAAGCAUGCUUGUCAGUGGCGCAGCUAACGCAUUAAGCAUCCCGCCUGGGGAGUACGGCCGCAAGGUUG
rnacentral:rRNA from 1 species